GGAGAGAUGCCAGAGUGGUCGAAUGGGGCGGUCUCGAAAACCGUUGAACUCUUACGAGUUCCGGGGGUUCGAAUCCCUUUCUCUCCG
rnacentral:tRNA from 1 species